CCUGGCUCAGAACGAACGCCGGCGGCACGUUUAAGCAUGCAAGUCGAACGGUAGAAGGUCUUCGGACUUUUGAGAGUGGCGAACGGGUGAGUAACACGUAGGUAAUCUGUCUUAGGGGUUGGGGAUAGCCCAUGGAAACAUGGGGUAAUACCGAAUAGCUCCCUUUCAGCACAAGCGGGAAGGGGGAAAGGCGCUUAGGCGCCGNCUUAGGGUGAGCCUGCGGUCCAUUAGUUAGUUGGUGGGGUAAGAGCCUACCAAGGCAGCGAUGGAUAGCCGGNCUGAGAGGGUGAACGGCCACACUGGGACUGAGACACGGCCCAGACUCCUACGGGAGGCAGCAGCUAAGAAUCUUCCGCAAUGGGCGAAAGCCUGACGGAGCGAUGCCGCGUGAGUGAAGAAGGCGGGAACGUUGUAAAACUCUUUCCUCGGGGAGGAAUAAGGAGGGGAGGUAAUGCCCCUUUGAUGACGCGAACCGAGGAAUAAGCCCCGGCUAAUUACGUGCCAGCAGCCGCGGUAACACGUAAGGGGCGAGCGUUGUUCGGAAUUAUUGGGCGUAAAGGGCGUGUAGGCGGCGAUGUAAGCCUGGUGUGAAAGACUUCAGCUUAACUGGAGAGCCGCGCUGGGAACUAUGUUGCUUGAGUAUAGGAGGGGGAGCUGGAAUUCCAGGUGUAGGGGUGAAAUCUGUAGAUAUCUGGAAGAACACCGGAGGCGAAGGCGAGCUCCUGGCCAUAUACUGACGCUGAGGCGCGAAAGCGUGGGGAGCGAACAGGAUUAGAUACCCUGGUAGUCCACGCUGUAAACGUUGUUGCACUGUGUGUCGGACUUACGGGUUCGGUACCGAAGUUAACGCGAUA
rnacentral:rRNA from 1 species